rnacentral:rRNA from 1 species
UACGUAGGGACCAAGCGUUGUUCGGAUUUACUGGGCGUAAAGGGCGCGUAGGCGGCGUGUUAAGUCACUUGUGAAACCUCCGGGCUUAACUCGGAGCCUGCAGGGGAAACUGCCGUGCUGGAGUAUGGGAGAGGUGAGUGGAAUUCCCGGUGUAGCGGUGAAAUGCGUAGAGAUGUGGAGGAACACCGAUGGCGAAGGCAGCCCCCUGGGCUGAGAUUGACGCUCAGGCACGAAAGCGUGGGGAGCAAACAGG